CGGCUCUGCUCGUAAGAGAAGUCCAGAGCAACAUUUUCCAUCGGGUUGAAUUGCAGACCAGCGCCAUAGGAGAAGCCAUAAUCGCUGG
rnacentral:tRNA from 1 species